UACGGAGGGGGCGAGCGUUAUCCGGAAUUACUGGGUUUAAAGGGCGCGUAGGCGGCUAUGUAAGUCAGGUGUGAAAGUUUGCGGCUCAACCGUAAAAUUGCGUUUGAUACUGCAUAGCUAGAAUUAGGAUGAGGUCAGCGGAAUGUGGCAUGUAGCGGUGAAAUGCAUAGAUAUGCCAUAGAACACCAAUUGCGAAGGCAGCUGGCUAGACCUGGAUUGACGCUGAGGCACGAAAGCGUGGGGAGCGAACAGG
rnacentral:rRNA from 1 species